ensembl:snoRNA U3 Small nucleolar RNA U3
AAGACUACACUUUCAGGGAUCAUUUCUAUGGUUCUUUACUAAAGAAGUUUCUCUGAUGGUGUGGAGCACCCAGGACCAUGCAGACUAGAUACAGCAUCUCUUCUGAAGCUGAAGCCAGCCCUAGGUGCUGCUUUAAUGCAAGCUGCUUCUUACCAUUGAUUAUUGCUCUUCUCUCCCUUUGAGAGAGAGGGAGGGAGGGAACACAAUCUGAGUGGA